CAACAGUGGCUUAACCAAUUAAAAAGUUUAUUUUUCGGGCCCAGUGUGCAAUGGCUGCGAACAGCAGUGUCCUCGGUAGUGUAUGCAGCCUGUUGCCUGUACAGGUUGCCCUAAGGGACCUUGGAGACAGCC